UGUGAGCGGAGGAGGCCACCGGUUCCAGCUCCAUCCUUUGAUACCGUGACCCCCUAAACGUCCUGCCUGUGGCCUGGCAUGGGUUUUCUGCUGAUGCAGGCUGACGCCUGGCUCAACUUGACUCGACAGCCCUGCGGUUGAGAGCAAGAGGGACGGGGAGACCGGGAGAAGGAGGGAAAUAUCCAAACACACUGUGCCCGGAACGAAUGGGAAAAGGAAAUUGGACAAGGUCAGGGGGAAAAGCCGAAGAUGGAAAGAAAAAAAAACACACACGAGAGCACGCUUCAUGCCAGCUGGCAACUCACAGGACAAAAGACGACCGCUCGGUGCUUACAGUUCAUUUGACAGGGAGAGAAUUUUUUCCCUUUGAUUGCUAGAAGUGUUGGAAUGUACUGGAGACAUCGGGCAAAUAAAUAAAUAACAUUAAAAAUACGGCCGCGCCAUGCUGUUUCCACAGUAACAGAUCAAUAACAGCAACGCAACAACUGAUAAGAAUUUCUAUGAAUUUCAAAUGUCCUCCCUGUGGUGCCUACAUUGGCUGUGGACUAAACAAGAAUAUUGAUAGGCUGCGAGGAACAGAGGAACGGCUCUCUUGCAUAAUCUUUGGAGUUGCACAUAAAACAUUUAAUUAUGAAGAUGCGUGGGUUCGAAAUAUCAUAUUCAUGAGACACAAGAACGGUCAGUUCUGACAUUUGGAAAUAUUCAGCCUUACUUUUGCACGUUUCAUCUUUCUGCCUAAACCAGAAGACUUAAAUCCGCUAAAUGCAUUUGAUGUGGCUUCCCAAUGCUAAUGAGCCCACAGCUCCCAACCAUAACCCACACAAGCCACAGUACGAGUCCCAGUCGGGAUCUGGGACUUUUUUACCCUUUAAGGGCCCAAGUGCGUGCAAACACGAGAAAGUCUCCACGAGGAAGUGAAUUCUGUUGCCAUCAGCUUAAUUUGU